rfam:Clostridium cellulovorans 743B, complete genome.
GCCACCGCCAGAUAGAACCUAAAGGAAGCUUACGGCAAAACUUUGCUCUGAGGAACAGAAAUUACAUAUAAGUCUUAUUUAAAUCAGGUGAUUUUGCAUAAAAGAACAAAGACAAAUAUAUUUUAAUUCUAAUGAAAGUACUUAGAGAAUUUAUA